rnacentral:rRNA from 1 species
UGCGUAGGCGGGCUAAUAAGUCAGUGGUGAAAUCUCUCGGCUCAACCGGGAAACUGCCAUUGAUACUGUUAGUCUUGAGUUCGGUUGAGGUAGGCGGAAUGUGUAAUGUAGCGGUGAAAUGCUUAGAUAUUACACAGAACACCAAUUGCGUCGGCAGCUUACUAGACCGACACUGACGCUGAGGCAAGAAAGCGUGGGGAGCGAACAGGAUUAGAUACCCUGGUAGUCC